GGGGAUUUGGCUCAGUGGUAGAGUACUUGCCUAGCAAGCACAAGGCCCUGGGUUCGGUCCCCAGCUCCA
rnacentral:tRNA from 1 species